GAGCGGCGAACGGGUGAGUAACGCGUAGGAAUGUACCUAGUAGAAGGGGAUAGCCCGAGGAAACUCGGAUUAAUACCGUAUACCUCCUUCGGGAGAAAGAAGGCCUCUCUUUGAAGCUUUCGCUACUAGAUCAGCCUGCGUAAGAUUAGCUUGUUGGUGAGGUAAUGGCUCACCAAGGCUACGAUCUUUAGCUGGUCUGAGAGGACGAUCAGCCACAUUGGGACUGAGACACGGCCCAGACUCCUACGGGAGGCAGCAGUGGGGAAUAUUGGACAAUGGGCGCAAGCCUGAUCCAGCCAUACCGCGUGUGUGAAGAAGGCCUUCGGGUUGUAAAGCACUUUAAGCAGGGAGAAAAAAAUAUAGGUUAAUACCCUAUGUUCUUGAUGUUACCUGCAGAAUAAGCACCGGCUAAUUC
rnacentral:rRNA from 1 species